UUCUACGGCCAUGUCACCCUGAACGUGCCCGAUCUCCUCUGAUCUCGGAAGCUAAGCAGAGUAGGGCCUGGUUAGUACUUGGAUAGGAGACCACCUAGGAAGACCAGGUGCUGUAGGUG
rnacentral:rRNA from 1 species